CACUGAUGGAUAUUCCAAUGGGGGAGACCCUAGACCAAUUGCAGCGUCACUGCGAGAUUCAGGAGUGGAGAUCUUCACUUUUGGCAUAUGGCAAGGGAACAUUCGAGAGCUGAAUGACAUGGCUUCCACCCCAAAGGAGGAGCACUGUUACCUGCUACACAGUUUUGAAGAAUUUGAGGCUUUAGCUCGCCGGGCAUUGCAUGAAGAUCUACCUUCUGGGAGUUUUAUUCAAGAUGAUAUGGUCCACUGCUCAUAUCUUUGUGAUGAAGGCAAGGACUGCUGUGACCGAAUGGCAAGCUGCAAAUGUGGGACACACACAGGCCAUUUUGAGUGCAUCUGUGAAAAGGGGUAUUACGGGAAAGGUCUGCAGUAUGAAUGCACAGCUUGCCCAUCGGGGACAUACAAACCUGAAGGCUCACCAGGAGGAAUCAGCAGUUGCAUUCCAUGUCCUGAUGAAAAUCACACCUCUCCACCUGGAAGCACAUCCCCUGAAGACUGUGUCUGCAGAGAGGGAUACAGGGCAUCUGGCCAGACCUGUGAACUUGUCCACUGCCCUGCCCUGAAGCCUCCCGAAAAUGGUUACUUUAUCCAAAACACUUGCAACAACCACUUCAAUGCAGCCUGUGGGGUCCGAUGUCACCCUGGAUUUGAUCUUGUGGGAAGCAGCAUCAUCUUAUGUCUACCCAAUGGUUUGUGGUCCGGUUCAGAGAGCUACUGCAGAGUAAGAACAUGUCCUCAUCUCCGCCAGCCGAAACAUGGCCACAUCAGCUGUUCUACAAGGGAAAUGUUAUAUAAGACAACAUGUUUGGUUGCCUGUGAUGAAGGGUACAGACUAGAAGGCAGUGAUAAGCUUACUUGUCAAGGAAACAGCCAGUGGGAUGGGCCAGAACCCCGGUGUGUGGAGCGCCAGUGUUCCACCUUUCAGACGCCCAAAGAUGUCAUCAUAUCCCCCCACAACUGUGGCAAGCAGCCAGCCAAAUUUGGGACGAUCUGCUAUGUAAGUUGCCGCCAAGGGUUCAUUUUAUCUGGAGUCAAAGAAAUGCUGAGAUGUACCACUUCUGGAAAAUGGAAUGUCGGAGUUCAGGCAGCUGUGUGUAAAGACGUGGAGGCUCCUCAAAUCAACUGUCCUAAGGACAUAGAGGCUAAGACUCUGGAACAGCAAGAUUCUGCCAAUGUUACCUGGCAGAUUCCAACAGCUAAAGACAACUCUGGUGAAAAGGUGUCAGUCCACGUUCAUCCAGCUUUCACCCCACCUUACCUUUUCCCAAUUGGAGAUGUUGCUAUCGUAUACACGGCAACUGACCUAUCCGGCAACCAGGCCAGCUGCAUUUUCCAUAUCAAGGUUAUUGAUGCAGAACCACCUGUCAUAGACUGGUGCAGAUCUCCACCUCCCGUCCAGGUCUCAGAGAAGGUACAUGCUGCAAGCUGGGAUGAGCCUCAGUUCUCAGACAACUCAGGGGCUGAAUUGGUCAUUACCAGAAGUCAUACACAAGGAGACCUUUUCCCUCAAGGGGAGACUAUAGUACAGUAUACAGCCACUGACCCCUCAGGCAAUAACAGGACAUGUGAUAUCCAUAUUGUCAUAAAAGGUUCUCCCUGUGAAAUUCCAUUCACACCUGUAAAUGGGGAUUUUAUAUGCACUCCAGAUAAUACUGGAGUCAACUGUACAUUAACUUGCUUGGAGGGCUAUGAUUUCACAGAAGGGUCUACUGACAAGUAUUAUUGUGCUUAUGAAGAUGGCGUCUGGAAACCAACAUAUACCACUGAAUGGCCAGACUGUGCCAAAAAACGUUUUGCAAACCAUGGGUUCAAGUCCUUUGAGAUGUUCUACAAAGCAGCUCGUUGUGAUGACACAGAUCUGAUGAAGAAGUUUUCUGAAGCAUUUGAGACGACCCUGGGAAAAAUGGUCCCAUCAUUUUGUAGUGAUGCAGAGGACAUUGACUGCAGACUGGAGGAGAACCUGACCAAAAAAUAUUGCCUAGAAUAUAAUUAUGACUAUGAAAAUGGCUUUGCAAUUGGACCAGGUGGCUGGGGUGCAGCUAAUAGGCUGGAUUACUCUUAUGAUGACUUCCUGGACACUGUGCAAGAAACAGCCACAAGCAUCGGCAAUGCCAGGUCAUCACGGAUUAAAAGAAGUGCCCCAUUAUCUGACUAUAAAAUUAAGUUAAUUUUUAACAUCACAGCUAGUGUGCCAUUACCCGAUGAAAGAAAUGAUACCCUUGAAUGGGAAAAUCAGCAACGACUCCUUCAGACAUUGGAAACUAUCACAAAUAAACUGAAAAGGACUCUCAACAAAGACCCCAUGUAUUCCUUUCAGCUUGCAUCAGAAAUACUUAUAGCCGACAGCAAUUCAUUAGAAACAAAAAAGGCUUCCCCCUUCUGCAGACCAGGCUCAGUGCUGAGAGGGCGUAUGUGUGUCAAUUGCCCUUUGGGAACCUAUUAUAAUCUGGAACAUUUCACCUGUGAAAGCUGCCGGAUCGGAUCCUAUCAAGAUGAAGAAGGGCAACUUGAGUGCAAGCUUUGCCCCUCUGGGAUGUACACGGAAUAUAUCCAUUCAAGAAACAUCUCUGAUUGUAAAGCUCAGUGUAAACAAGGCACCUACUCAUACAGUGGACUUGAGACUUGUGAAUCGUGUCCACUGGGCACUUAUCAGCCAAAAUUUGGUUCCCGGAGCUGCCUCUCGUGUCCAGAAAACACCUCAACUGUGAAAAGAGGAGCCGUGAACAUUUCUGCAUGUGGAGUUCCUUGUCCAGAAGGAAAAUUCUCACGUUCUGGGUUAAUGCCCUGUCACCCAUGUCCUCGUGACUAUUACCAACCUAAUGCAGGGAAGGCCUUCUGCCUGGCCUGUCCCUUUUAUGGAACUACCCCAUUCGCUGGUUCCAGAUCCAUCACAGAAUGUUCAAGUUUUAGUUCAACUUUCUCAGCGGCAGAGGAAAGUGUGGUGCCCCCUGCCUCUCUUGGACAUAUUAAAAAGAGGCAUGAAAUCAGCAGUCAGGUUUUCCAUGAAUGCUUCUUUAACCCUUGCCACAAUAGUGGAACCUGCCAGCAACUUGGGCGUGGUUAUGUUUGUCUCUGUCCACUUGGAUAUACAGGCUUAAAGUGUGAAACAGACAUCGAUGAGUGCAGCCCACUGCCUUGCCUCAACAAUGGAGUUUGUAAAGACCUAGUUGGGGAAUUCAUUUGUGAGUGCCCAUCAGGUUACACAGGUCAGCGGUGUGAAGAAAAUAUAAAUGAGUGUAGCUCCAGUCCUUGUUUAAAUAAAGGAAUCUGUGUUGAUGGUGUGGCUGGCUAUCGUUGCACAUGUGUGAAAGGAUUUGUAGGCCUGCAUUGUGAAACAGAAGUCAAUGAAUGCCAGUCAAACCCAUGCUUAAAUAAUGCAGUCUGUGAAGACCAAGUUGGGGGAUUCUUGUGCAAAUGCCCACCUGGAUUUUUGGGUACCCGAUGUGGAAAGAACGUCGAUGAGUGUCUCAGUCAGCCAUGCAAAAAUGGAGCUACCUGUAAAGACGGUGCCAAUAGCUUCAGAUGCCUGUGUGCAGCUGGCUUCACAGGAUCACACUGUGAAUUGAACAUCAAUGAAUGUCAGUCUAACCCAUGUAGAAAUCAGGCCACCUGUGUGGAUGAAUUAAAUUCAUACAGUUGUAAAUGUCAGCCAGGAUUUUCAGGCAAAAGGUGUGAAACAGAACAGUCUACAGGCUUUAACCUGGAUUUUGAAGUUUCUGGCAUCUAUGGAUAUGUCAUGCUAGAUGGCGUGCUUCCAUCUCUCCAUGCUCUAACCUGUACCUUCUGGAUGAAAUCCUCUGACGACAUGAACUAUGGAACACCAAUCUCCUAUGCAGUUGAUAAUGGCAGCGACAAUACCUUGCUCCUGACUGAUUAUAACGGCUGGGUUCUUUAUGUGAAUGGCAGGGAAAAGAUAACAAACUGUCCCUCGGUGAAUGAUGGCAGAUGGCAUCAUAUUGCAAUCACUUGGACAAGUGCCAAUGGCAUCUGGAAAGUCUAUAUCGAUGGGAAAUUAUCUGACGGUGGUGCUGGCCUCUCUGUUGGUUUGCCCAUACCUGGUAUGUUUUAACAAAAUGAGUAUAAUUCUGUUGGACUCUAGAGGUGAUGCUGCUUAAAUGGACAUCAGGUUUGCUAGCAUUGUUGUUCUUGGUUUCAAACAAAGAUUAACAGCUAUCUCUCUCAUUUCCUACUCCCUGAUUAUCCUAACUGUGGGUUAUUAGAAGCUUUUUUCCUAAGUAAGCUGUUUGCCUCUCUGUGUGAGAAAUGCCUUUGAAGAUCUACAUUAAGACUACCAAGAAGCAUGCUGAACAAGCAGCUGGUUGCUAAACUGUCUUCCAAGGAGAUUAAUUACUGGUAUUUUUUGUUUAUUUUAAGGAUUGUUUUGUUUUGUAAUCAGUAUAUAAGCAGGACCACUGCUAUCCAUCUUUUAUGGCCAUUUUCAAAUAGAUCUUGGCUUGUCUUCUAAAAAAUACUUUUUAAUAAAUAUCCCAGGAGUUUUAGUUUGAAGAAUUGCAAACUAAAUUUCAUUAGGUGACCCAGGUUCUCAGCAUUGUACAUGGCAAUAAGCUUGUUCUAUCUGGAUACAUCUAUAGAAGUAUAUGCAUAUGACAUUAUUUUUUACUUUGCUCAUUUGUUUCAGGUAUACUAAAGGAAAAUUAAAUAGACAAAAAUGAAUUAAAGUAUUAGAAACUGACUAAUACAUUCUAGAAGUAAGUUGUAUGAAACUAGGAUACGUAUACUAAUAAAUAUAGCACAAAAAUACUAAACUUCAUAAAAAUGCGGUGAGAUGACCCUUGCGAAGCCUCAAAUACAAUACUUAUUUUAUUUAUUAGAAAUUAUUGGCCAGGUGCGGUGGCUCACGCCUGUAAUCCCAGCACUUUGGAAGGCUGAGGAGGGUGGAUCACGAGGUCAGGAGUUGGAGACCGCCCUGGACAAUAUGGUGAAACCCUAUCUCUACUAAAAACACACAGAAAAAUUAGCCAGGCAUGGUGGUAGAUGCCUGUAAUUCCAGCUACUCAGGAGGCUGAGGCAGGAGAAUCGCUUGAACCCAGGAGGCGAAGAUUGCCGUGAGCCGAGAUCAUGCCACUGCACUCCAGCCUGGGCAAUGGAGAGAGGCUCUGUCUC
rnacentral:sRNA from 1 species